UUGGAGGGCAAGUCUGGUGCCAGCAGCCGCGGUAAUUCCAGCUCCAAUAGCGUAUAUUAAAGUUGUUGCAGUUAAAAAGCUCGUAGUUGAAUUUCGGGAUCAGUACGCCGGUCGUGCCUUCGGUAUGUACUGGUGUCACUGAUUCCUCCCUUCUGAAGAACCGUUAUGCCAUUCAUUUGGUGUGACGGGGAAUCAGGACUGUUACUUUGGAAAAAUUAGAGUGUUUAAAGCAGGCUCGCGCUUGAAUACAUUAGCAUGGAAUAAUGAAAUAGGACGUUUGAUCUUAUUUUGUUGGUUUCUAGGAUCGACGUAAUGAUUAAUAGGGAUAGUUGGGGGCAUUAGUAUUCAAUUGUCAGAGGUGAAAUUCUUGGAUUUAUUGAAGACUAACUACUGCGAAAGCAUUUGCCAAGGAUGUUUUCAUUAAUCAAGAACGAAAGUUAGGGGAUCGAAGACGAUCAGAUACAGUCGUAGUCUUAACCAUAAACUAUGCCGACUAGGGAUCGGAUGAUGUUAUUUUUAAUGACUCAUUCGGCGCCUUACGGGAAAC
rnacentral:rRNA from 1 species